UCUCAUUAUAAUCAAGUCCAGUUGGUGCCAGAGUCCCCUACUUUUUGCAAUCUUAAAAUAUGAUCCACCCCCGCAAGUAGUACAAGCAAACAAAAGAAAAGUUUUUAGUGCUUGAAUUCUAUCAAAGAAACAAAGAUGAGGAUUACUUUUACCUUGUGGGAAUAUGAUAUGAAGCUUUGUCUUGUUCAAUUCGUGAAGAUUAUACAACUCAUAAAGCUUUUUUGUAACUUAGCUAAUACUUUCAGCUUCAAUAUCUGCAAUUCUAGUCGCAAACUAUCCCCAGCAUUUAGAAAUGAUGAGAAGUAUGUUCUCUAAUAUCUAAAAGAUGGAUACUUCACACCAUAGGAUGAAUUUUCAAUUAAAAAGCUAAAAGGUUUUUCCACGAGAUGGGAAAACAAUUAUUUUUUCAAGUUUUAAUUUCGUAGUAGCUAAAUUCCACAAGCAAAAGGAGCUUUAGUCCAGGAGGAUUACCUAACUAGCCCGAACCAUUUUUCCAAUUUGAGUAGGUCUAGAAAAGAGGUGGGAGCAAGUUCUACCAUAUCUAAGACUUAAUCAUGAAGAAAGAUAUUAAAAAGUUAUAAACUUUAGUACAUGAAAAAUUUAAGGAUAAUUCGAAAAGGGCAUAGCUCCUAUAAAAACUCUUUCCAACCAUCACCAUCAACUUAAUAUAAUACAUCUAGCCUCC
rnacentral:lncRNA from 1 species